rnacentral:tRNA from 1 species
CGAGGUGUGGCUCAGUUUGGUAGAGCGCUACGUUCGGGACGUGGAAGCCGGAGGUUCAAAUCCUCUCACCUCGA